GUUCAUCAGAUCUGAACCUUGGGAUGCUUGUCCAGUGUUUUUUUGUUUAACUUGAACAUCCUUACCCUUUUCCUUAAAGAUGCCAAAAGGUACGAUCGAAUAGUUCAGGUCACCGGAGUUUGGUAACAGGAUAAUCGCUAGGUUUUGUCAGUUAAUUAAACCGUUAAUGCCAGCACGAAUCGUUAACGCUUCUUCUGACUCACUGUUGUACAAGAAUUUAGCCUCGGUUUCGGUAAUGUUGGAGUUAGUUUUAACGGUUUCCCCUUCCAAUAUGUAAGGUCGGGAUGAAUAAGUAAUCUGGGCACUUUGCGCGGUCUUUUGCACUUUAACCCAGCGCAAGUCCCCCGUACUCGCAAACCGUGAACGUGCAUCCUCUUGUUGGGAGUACGAUACCCCCGCAGAAGACAAUCCUCCAGCGAUAUAGUUGGAAUAAAACACUUCCGGAGUUGCCCCUGGUUGGAAGUAGUUAAUCAUCGUUGGGAUUGGUUGUUCGUUGCCUUCCCGCGUCUUUGGUAAGUUUGGUGUGAUGUGAUCAUCAUACUCCUUAUUACGCUUAAAGACAAUCUGGCUCUGGUUAAAACUCUCGACAUAGUAAGGUCCGACUGAUCAAGCAUCCCGUCAUGCGUUGACACCACCACCACCAUAAAUCCCAUCAAAAUUAGUUUUGGUUUGGUCUAAUAUUUUGGCACUGUUCUUUUCGUUGUAAACCAAUGGUGAGUUUGGACCUACCUUAAUUGCUUUUACCUUCGGGUGGGUAUGCGGAAUAGGAAAGAAGAAUUCCUUCGACAUCAUACUCAACAAGAAGGGGAAGGGUGAGGUGAGAUAGACGUUGAAUUUAUCGUCACUGGUACUCCUGU
rnacentral:sRNA from 1 species